CCGGGAACCCCGAACAUCCCCUUUCUCUACUCUUUCCCUUUGGAGUCUAUAGAGGGAGAAGCAGAGCCUAAGGCUUCAUCAGUUUGAAUACUGGCUGGGGCUGGGCAAGUUAGUGGCUCAAAGUGUUGAAUCUGUCCCUAAAGCAGGGACAGAAAUGGAGGCUCAGGAGGUAGAGGUGGCAGUGGGCGUGCAGGAGAAGCUGUAGGUCAGGAGGUAGAGGUGGCAGUGGGCGUGCAGGAGAACUGUAGGUCAGAGUGGAGAGGUGGCAGUGGGCGUGCAGGAGAAGGUGUAGGUCAGGGGGCAGAGGUGGCAGUGGGCGUGCAGGAGAAGCUGUAGGUCGGAGAGGGUGCAGAGUGGAGAACAGAUGAGCUGGAGUCACACCAUGCCCUAUACCCAGCCAGAGGCCGAAGUGAGCCUGUCACGGUAAUGCCACUGCCUGCUUGAUUCCCUCCCAUGCCUAGCCUGGGUUCUUCAUGAUCCCUGAGGCCCUCUUUGAUGUCAUCCCGCUGCCUCAAAACCUGUGUGUGCUGGUGGCUCCCUCUGCUUUCCUUCCAGAUGACUCCUUCGCUUCAGCUCAAAUGUCACCUUUGGCUGUUAAAAUCCUUUCCGGAGGAAGUUGUAAACAAUGCCUACCCCUCCUCCCGAGGUCUCUGAUUCCACUCCAGGGAAGAUUGCUCUGGGGGAGCCAAUGAGUUUGUUGGGAUUACUUCCAGAGCAUAGGUGAGGGGUUAGUUACUUGAAUAUGAGUGCUGCCCACCAAAAGACCGCACUGAAAAGUCUUUACCCAGCAGGGGUGAUGGU
rnacentral:lncRNA from 1 species